ensembl:snRNA U6 U6 spliceosomal RNA
AUGCUUGCUUGGGUACAUGUGCUAAAAUUGACACACUACAGAGAAGAAUAGCAUGACUUCUGCAUAAGUGACAUGAGAAUUAAGUAAUUUUCAAAUCUUUC